UGCAUUCACUACUGUAAGUCGCUCUGGAUAAGAGCGUCUGCUAAAUGACUUUAU
rfam:Salmo salar isolate Sally breed double haploid chromosome ssa01, whole genome shotgun sequence.